CGUUUGAGACCCAGCGUCUCUAGAUCUCGUAUUUGAAUUUGUGGCGCUUGGUGUCCGCGAGUUGCCGAAUGAAGCUGAGCGUCUCAGUGGAACCAGGGAUCUCAGGGAGGGGAAGGUAUAAAAUUUUCAAAUGGAGGAGUAUACCUGAACCUAAUCAUGGAUGUGAUUUUAUGUAAGUAAUAUGUGAGAUACAGAUAAGCUGAUUCUAAAACUUACAAGAAUGGCAAAGAAACAAGAAGAGCUUAAACUGCAAUCAUCAACAGAGAAGCUUUCUGCAACCAAAGUGAAGACUGAAGCCUUAGGCUAUGGCAGAAGUUGGGCGCCUGAAGUACACGUGGAAAUAUGCCAACUGAACAUUGGACUACCACGUCAAGGGUCUCCUACCCCUGGGCCAUGGAUCAAUACCAGUCUGUGACCUGUUAGGAACCGGUAGCAGGAGCGCCUGCCCCUGGCUCAGCGCCCGGUGCCAACAGAACACCUUUCAGGAUCCACAGCAACGCAGACAACGGAACUCACAAGGGCUUCGGUUCUCAAGAGGCCAUCAAAACAUAACUGCUGCCGAGACAAUACCUUUCCUUCCCCUCACUACAUUCACUGAAUGUUCUGGAUCAGUGCGUCUCACACCUUUGGAUCUUAUAAGCUACUUGGAAAAAUUUUAAAGCACCUGAUGGAUUUGGAAAAUAUUUAAUGAAGACAAUGAUGCUGACAUCUCAAGUUAAAAGGUUCUACAGAGAAGGCAAAGAUUUUGAAGGCACAGGAGACUAUCAUAGAUAUUCACAACGGCAUCUCCCUAAAGGAUUUGAAAGCUUUGCAUCAACCAAAGGAAAAGCACCAGUGAGAGUCAAGAUACAGUUCCAGACAGGUGCUACUUCUUAUUCAAAAGAUGUAAUUGGUUAAGAUAAGAUCAUACUGGAUGUGGAUGGGUCCUAGAUCUGACUGCUGAUAUCCUUAUAAGAAGAAGAAAGGACACGCGGAGACUACAGUGAUGUUGCCACAAGCCAAGAAAUGCCAAGAAUUUCGGGAGCCACCAGAAGAUGGAAGAGGCAGGGAAAAAUCCUCCCCUAAAGCCUUCAGAGAGAGCAUAGCUCUGCCAACACCUUGAUUCUGGACAUCUAGCCUCUUAAACU
rnacentral:lncRNA from 10 species